rnacentral:rRNA from 1 species
AUUGAACGCUGGCGGCAGGCCUAACACAUGCCAGUCGAGCGGAUGAAGGGAGCUUGCUCCUGGAUUCAGCGGCGGACGGGUGAGUAAUGCCUAGGAAUCUGCCUGGUAGUGGGGGAUAACGUCCGGAAACGGGCGCUAAUACCGCAUACGUCCUGAGGGAGAAAGUGGGGGAUCUUCGGACCUCACGCUAUCAGAUGAGCCUAGGUCGGAUUAGCUGGUUGGUGGGGUAAAGGCCUACCAAGGCGACGAUCCGUAACUGGUCUGAGAGGAUGAUCAGUCACACUGGAACUGAGACACGGUCCAGACUCCUACGGGAGGCAGCAGUGGGGAAUAUUGGACAAUGGGCGAAAGCCUGAUCCAGCCAUGCCGCGUGUGUGAAGAAGGUCUUCGGAUUGUAAAGCACUUUAAGUUGGGAGGAAGGGCAGUAAGUUAAUACCUUGCUGUUUUGACGUUACCAACAGAAUAAGCACCGGCUAACUUCGUG